rnacentral:misc_RNA from 1 species
AUUUUCUCUUAGUAAAAAAGCUGAAGCAAGUAAACAUGUAUGCAGAUUUCCAUUGAAAUUUGGAAAACGUUGUUUUUCAGUUUUUCAAAUGUUAAAUUGAAAACUAGGAAAGCUAUUAAAAUCAAUUUUCCAAAGUCUCUGUGAAAUUGGAAUGAUGAGAAACAAGGUUUUCUUGGAUAACAGAUUCCAUUUCUUUACUGGUAAUUACAUUUUCUAAUUAUUUUCUUGCAAGUUUUCUAGAUCUAAAUGCACUGUAAAUUUCCUUUCUUUUCAGACCUCUCUUUUGCAAUGAUGUUGUCCUUACUUAUCUAAAGAAAGCAUAUGCUUGAUUCAAGAGAAGUUUUAGUGGUUGUUGGAGAAUUGGCGAAUUUCCAUGCAGAAUAGACAAUCACAAUCGUGAAAAUGUAGGCUGGUUAUUUA